UGACCUCAAAUCAGGUAGGACUACCCGCUGAACUUAAGCAUAUCAA
rnacentral:rRNA from 8 species